AUUGAACGCUGGCGGCAGGCCUAACACAUGCAAGUCGAGCGAGCGGCGGACGGGUGAGUAAUGUCUGGGAAACUGCCUGCUGGAGGGGGAUAACUACUGGAAACGGUAGCUCAUACCGCAUACCAUCAGAUGUGCCCAGAUGGGAGUAGCUAGUAGGUGGGGUAACGGCUCACCUAGGCGACGCUCCCUAGCUGGUCUGAGAGGAUGACCAGCCACACGGGAACGGAGACACGGUCCAGACUCCUACGGGAGGCAGCAGUGGGGAAUAGGGGACAAUGGGCGCAAGCCUGAUGCAGCCAUGCCGCGGGUGUGAAGAAGGCCUGCGGGUUGUAAAGCACUGUCAGCGGGGAGGCGGUACCCGCAGAAGAAGCACCGGCUAACUCCGUGCCAGCAGCCGCGGUAAUUC
rnacentral:rRNA from 1 species